rnacentral:rRNA from 1 species
GAUCAUGGCUCAGAACGAACGCUGGCGGCGCGCCUAACACAUGCAAGUCGAACGAGAAUCCGGGGCAACCCGGUAGUAAAGUGGCAAACGGGUGAGGAAUACAUGGGUAACCUACCCUUGAGAAGGGAAUAACCCGCCGAAAGGUGAGCUAAUACCCUAUACGCUAUCUUUUUUCGAAAAGGAUAGGAAAGCCGGGUCGAGGACCUGGUACUCAAGGAGGGGCUCAUGUCCUAUCAGUUAGUUGGUGGGGUAAUGGCUUACCAAGACUAUGACACAUAACUGGUUUGAGAGGAUGAUCAGUCACACUGGAACUGAGACACGGUCCAGACUCCUACGGGAGGCAGCAGGUGGGGAAUAUUGCACAAUGGACGAAAGUCUGAUGCAGCAACGCCGCGUGGAGGAUGACACAUUUCGGUGCGUAAACUCCUUUUAUAUGAGAAGAUAAUGACGGUAUUAUAUGAAUAAGCACCGGCUAACUCCGUG